rnacentral:rRNA from 1 species
CCUACGUGUGGCAGCAGUGGGGGAUAUUGCACAAUGGGGGGAACCCUGAUGCGGCGACGCCGCGGGGGUUGAGAAGCGCCUCGGCGCGUAAAGCCCUGUCAGCAGGGAAGAAAAUGACGGUCCCUGAAGAAGAAGCCCCGGCUUACUACGUGCCAGCCGCCGCGGUAAUAAUGAGGGGGCAAGCGUUAUCCGGAUUUACUGGGUGUCAAGGGGGCGCAGACGGCGAUGCAAGCCAGGAGUGAAAGCCCGGGGCCCAACCCCGGGACGGCUCUUGGAACUGCGUGGCUGGAGUGCAGGAGGGGCAGGCGGAAUUCCUGGUGUAGCGGUGAAAUGCGUAGAUAGCAGGAGGAACACCGGUGGCGAAGGCGGCCUGCUGGACUGCAACUGACGUUGAGGCCCGAAAGCGUGGGGAGCAAACAGGAUUAGAUACCCUUGUAGUC